UACGUAGGGUGCGAGCGUUGUUCGGAAUUACUGGGCGUAAAGGGCGCGUAGGCGGUUCGGUAAGUCCUGUGUGAAAUCCCUCGGCUCAACUGAGGAACUGCACGGGAGACUGCCGGGCUUGAGUUCGGGAGAGGGAAGCGGAAUUCCGGGUGUAGCGGUGAAAUGCGUAGAUAUCCGGAGGAACACCGGUGGCGAAGGCGGCUUCCUGGACCGACACUGACGCUGAGGCGCGAAAGCUAGGGGAGCAAACGGG
rnacentral:rRNA from 1 species